AGAGUUUGAUCCUGGCUCAGAUUGAACGCUGGCGGCGUGCCUAACACAUGCAAGUCGAGCGGUAACAGGUGUAGCAAUACAUGCUGACGAGCGGCGAACGGGUGAGUAAUGCUUUGGAAUCUUCCCAGUAGUGGGGAAUAACCAGUCGAAAGAUUGGCUAAUACCGCAUACGUCUGUAAAGGGAAAGCGGGGGCUCGUAAGACCUCGCGCUAUUGGAUGAGCCAAAGUAGGAUUAGCUAGUUGGUGGGGUAAUGGCCUACCAAGGCGACAAUCCGUAGCUGGUCUGAGAGGACGACCAGCCACACCGGAACUGAGACACGGUCCGGACUCCUACGGGAGGCAGCAGUGGGGAAUAUUGGACAAUGGGGGAAACCCUGAUCCAGCGACGCCGCGUGUGUGAAGAAGGCCUGCGGGUUGUAAAGCACUUUUAGUGGGGACAAAAAGCUACGGACUAACACUCUGUGGUCUUGAUUUAACCCAAAGAAAAAGCACCGGCUAACUCUGUGCCAGCAGCCGCGGUAAUACAGAGGGUGCGAGCGUUAAUCGGAAUUACUGGGCGUAAAGCGCGCGUAGACGGUUUUGUAAGUCAGAUGUGAAAUCCCUGGGCUCAACCUGGGAACUGCAUUUGAAACUGCAUGGCUAGAGUAUCGAAGAGGGAAGUGGAAUUUCCGGUGUAGCGGUGGAAUGCGUAGAUAUCGGAAGGAACACCAGUGGCGAAAGCGACUUCCUGGUCGAAUACUGACGUUCAUGUGCGAAAGCGUGGGGAGCAAACAGGAUUAGAUACCCUAGUAGUCC
rnacentral:rRNA from 1 species